CUGCGAUGCUUGCAGUUCUGUGAACUGCUGUCCUACCACCAUCACUUGACUUUCAGGGUUAACAUUUAGACAUUUUUUGUGAGAAAAUUUUAUCCUGAAACAGUUUUGACUAACCACAGAUACCAAGACCCACAGUCUGCCGCCACUGGCAUCAUGAAUGACAGAGGAAGAGCUGUGUGUCCUGAAGCCCACCUGGGGCGGAGGCCCUGGGCUUCUAGUGCCGGCCAGCCUGUGGGCGUUGCUGGAAGGCUCUGGGGCAGGCGCGGUGCUGUGUGCCUCGGGCACUUUCCUUUCAGUCCCACGCAGCCCCAUCUUCCAGAUGAGGAAGUGGAGUCCACAGAGGUUGAGCGCCUCCUGAUGGAGAUCGCGCUGCAGCCCCGGAGCCUGAGCUGUUAACAGGCUCUGGACAAAGAGAGAUGCCUGAUGUGUCACAACGCCUGUGAGUUAUUCAAGACUCCUUUGGACAGUUCUCUUAUGUUUCUGAUGGUGGCGAGGAUGAAAGAAUAAAUGAUUGACCCAGGUAGACUGAUCCAUCUCCGGUUCUUGUUGCCGCCAGGGUCGCGAGUGUUUGGGGCUGUGAAGGUGAAGACUGUUGAGCUGGUGGUAAGAAGGUCAGUAAUUAGGUUACGGACAUUUUAAAAUAAGGUGCUGAAUCUGGUGUGAGAUGCGACAUCCCGCCCCUGAGGAGCUUCUGAUGAAAGUCAUUUGAGGAAUCGCCUCUUUGUAGGAAGCCGAGAGCCACAUCUUUUCCUCUCCAUUAGGGCACCCAAAUUAAGAAAUUGGACUGAAAAUCACUAGAGAACUUUAUAAGAUUUUAAUGUCUAAGAAUCCACAUUAGCAUGUCUCUGUCCAGAGGGUGUGAGAAACUAAUCUGAGCGUAAUUAUCCUGUAAUGUGACACGGGGGCAGGGACCUGGAGCCGGCUGCCCGCGGACCAGGUCUUAAUGAGGCGGGGCGUGGACGCUGCCAACUCCAUCAGUCAGAGUUCCACUUGGAGCAGCUGAUGAGGGCAGCUGGGAUGGUGGCCCCUUGGAGGUCUGAGAGGGGUCAGCUGUCGCUGAAGGUUGACAUCCUUACAGUGGGGCCGUGCAGAGUGAUUGCUUGGAGUCCUAGAAGAAAACCACAUUUCAAAUCCAGAUUUGAGAGGGGAAAAUGUUUGUGCAAUAAGAGGUGGGGCUAGGACCGCAGGAGGGGGCCCUGAACUGCUGACUGAAUGCGACCUGCCUUUCGCAUCAGCUCUGCCUCCU
rnacentral:lncRNA from 1 species